rnacentral:misc_RNA from 1 species
AAACAUAAACCUAGAGUCAAUCGUCUACAUCAGACAGAAGAGUCUUCAUCGUGUAUGUGUGUGGGUUACGUCGAUCUUNUUCCUCGGGAUUACUCGAUUUUAGUCUUUCCAGAUAUCAUUUUAUAGCUUUCUAAUUCAGUUCAGGGAUUAACAAUCCAGUCAUGUCACAAGAUUCCCAGAGUUCUAUCAACUCUUUGGAGUUAAUGUCUCAAGAGACACACGAGGUUUUGCAGGCAUUACUGAACAGUGAUGUAAAGGCACCAAUUAUGGAUCAGCCAGAGUUUCAAGCAAGAUAUCGUCUUAAUCCAUUUGAUAUUCACCUUGCUGAAGACAAUGGUCCAGAGAACGUAGAGAUCAAUAUCGACAGACUCUACUCAUUUCCACGGCUUUGCAAAUCUGAGCUACAAGAUGGCAGCCCUUGUGCUGAUGGGUCUCCUCAGUUAUCUCAGUCAACACAAAAUCAUUUUAUAAACAACACAAGCUAUACUUCGCAACAACAACAAUCAANUGAUUUGAUAAGUCACCAGGCCAGACCCCAACACCAACCAGAUCAUAGCUACCUUUCCAGGCAAUGUCUGGUUCCACCAAACACAGAUUUUCCUGGUCAAUAUCUGUUUGACAUUGGAUUUGAGGAAGAAAAAGCACAACCUGUCAAGUCUGCUCCAUGGACAUAUUCGCCUCAACUUCAAAAGCUUUUUAUCAAGAUGAGAUGUCUUGUUCCCAUUAGAUUUAUUGUUAAAGGUCGUCCUCCCNCUGGUUCCUACAUCAAAGCUCUUCUUGUUUACAAUAAACCUGAACAUUACAGAGAGAUAGUAGAACGAUGUGUCAACCACAUCACNAAACAAAAUGAUGGUCAUCAUGCACCUAAUCAUCUAUUAAGAUGUGAAAACUCUUCCACANUCUACGAAACUUGUCCUGAAACUGGACGUCACAUGAUUAAAAUCCCUGUUCGAGAAGCAGAAGCUGGUAUGGAUUACUUCACAGAUAUGUUUCAGUUUAUGUGUUUUAACUCGUGUCCUGGUGGACUCAACAGAAGACCGAUCAUUGCGAUCUUCACUCUAGAGUAUAAUGGAAUGGUAAUGGGCCGAAAGAUUCUCAACCCAAGAAUCUGUGCGUGUCCAGGAAGGGACAGAGGCAAUGAAGAAAUAUCAGAGCAAAAAAAGAAAGAAAAAAACUCAANGAAUGCCGAAACCACACAUUCACAACCAGAACAUGUUUCAUCAAUAUCAUGUCAAGAGACCCCUCCCCCCACCCCUGUGGAGGAUACAAAACCACUUUACCAAGAAAACAAUAAAACGUCAGGCAAAAGAAGUGCUACAAAGAUCACAGAAGGGUUCCAGCUGCAGUCUCUCUCAGCGUACAAAAAAAUAAAACGAGAGGAAGAUGAAAUAUUUACUAUUCAGAUACGAGGAAGAGAAAAGUAUGAGUUGUUGCUAAAAAUCAAGGAAUCUGUUGAUCUGAUGGAUAUGGUACCACAAUCCUAUCUGGACAGCUACAGACUGGGGUAACUAUCACUUAAAGACUAUCUUUACAAAGCAUCAUGGGAACCUUUAGGGUUAUGGUAAAGGAAUGUGAAACGUUAGAAGAACUUAAGGAAGAAGUUGUGCUCCAUGUGGACCCAACUGGUUUUUAGAACAGCAAAGGAAGUUGAAUGCUGAAAAAGAAGGACACAAGGAGAAUUCCCAAGAUACUCAAGAAGUCUCCAAUUCACAG